rnacentral:rRNA from 1 species
UACGAAGGGGGCUAGCGUUGCUCGGAAUUACUGGGCGUAAAGCGCACGUAGGCGGCUUUCUAAGUCUGGGGUGAAAGCCUGUGGCUCAACCACAGAAUUGCCUUCGAUACUGUCGAGCUUGAGACCGGAAGAGGUAAGUGGAACUGCGAGUGUAGAGGUGAAAUUCGUAGAUAUUCGCAAGAACACCAGUGGCGAAGGCGGCUUACUGGUCCGGUUCUGACGCUGAGGCGCGAAAGCGUGGGGAGCAAACGGG